UGAGUAGACCAGUUCCGUUCCGUAGAUCAAAGCCAGAAGCAGACGUUUGUAGUUUUUCCAAGUCCAAGAAGGGGGGAAGACAAGCCGUGGUCAGUUCAGUCCGAGUUCUCAAAGCAGGAGAUGGCGUCCGUCAAGAAGACGACGGAAGGUCAAGCUAAUAAGAGUAAGCACAGGUUUGCACAAACAAAUGCCCACACAAUCCCUCCCGCCGUCUGACCCUGGAUUCCAAUCAACUUACGUCACAGCACAGGAAAGCACACAAGUCUUCAGGGAAGCGUCCCACACACACACGGAUCCCAAGCGUUUGCCCAGAUUACCUUGCCCAACGCAAUUUGCAAUUGCUCUCAAGCCCCAUUUUAUGCCAGUACAAAUCUUCAUCACUGUCAGCUGUCCUCCUUAACCCGGGCGUUUCCUCAUCACUUUCCUCGUCAGAGCUGGAACACCUCUGACUACGCCCAACAGCAUCUCCAGCUGUGGAUCCUGUCCUCCUUAACCCGGGCGUUUCCUCAUCACUGUCAGCUGUCCUCCUUAACCCGGGCGUUUCCUCAUCACUUUCCUCGUCAGAGCUGGAACACCUCUGACUACGCCCAACAGCAUCUCCAGCUGUGGAUCCCGUCCCAUCCCUCCAGCUGGAACACCUCUGACUACGCCCAACAGCAUCUCCAGCUGUGGAUCCCGUCCCAUCCCUCCAGCUAAACCAUGGGUCUAAUCCUGAAGGUCCCCAUUCAUCUUCUGUCCCAUCAUGGCCAGUGGCACCCACUUCCUCCCUUACCCGAGUCCAAUCCAUCUCAUCCUCCUCUGAGCUAACCAGCCCCUCCUCCAUUCUCUCCGUAAACCCUUCGAAAGACUCCUCGUCAGAUGGUGCUGCAAAUAUGUCUCGCAGUCUUUUUCUCUCUCGCUCCUCGAGAGUAUCUGACUCUCGAGGAGUCUUACGCCCACGUCUGUCAGUAACAGAGCCAUGAGGCUCAAUCAUAACACUAUCCCCUCUCACAAAGGCCUCCUCCCCCGAUGGCGGAGAAGUGGCAGUGAUACCCUCCGCUAUAGCACCACGACGACUAGAGGUAUCAAGUUUCAACAACUGAGCUUGAGAUGGAAGUGGAACCAAGAGAAGGGCCUCUCCUGAAGAUCUCAGGGCCUGAACAGGUUUGUACAAAGGGAUGCAGUCAGCCAAAUAGCUUGGACCGGAACCAUCUAGAGCUUUAAAGGUCUUAACCAGCACUUUGAAUUGUGCCCAGAAAUAGACUGGCAGCCAGUGGAGUUGCUUCAGCAGUGGGAUUGUCCACUCCCUGUAGCCAGCCCCAGUGAGCAACCCGGCUGCAGGUCUAUGGACCAGCUGAAGUUUCCAAGCACUCUUCAGAGGCAGCCCCACGUA
rnacentral:lncRNA from 1 species